rnacentral:rRNA from 1 species
UACGAAGGGGGCUAGCGUUGCUCGGAAUCACUGGGCGUAAAGCGCACGUAGGCGGCUUUCUAAGUCAGGGGUGAAAUCCUGGAGCUCAACUCCAGAACUGCCUUUGAUACUGGAGAGCUCGAGUCCGGGAGAGGUGAGUGGAACUCCGAGUGUAGAGGUGAAAUUCGUAGAUAUUCGGAAGAACACCAGUGGCGAAGGCGGCUCACUGGCCCGGUACUGACGCUGAUGUGCGAAAGCGUGGGGAGCAAACGGG